rnacentral:rRNA from 1 species
UACGGAGGGUGCAAGCGUUAUCCGGAUUCACUGGGUUUAAAGGGUGCGUAGGCGGGCAGGUAAGUCAGUGGUGAAAUCUCCGAGCUUAACUCGGAAACUGCCUUUGAUACUAUCUGUCUUGAAUAUUGUGGAGGUAAGCGGAAUAUGUCAUGUAGCGGUGAAAUGCUUAGAGAUGACAUAGAGCACCUAUUGCGAAGGCAGCUUACUGCGCAUAUAUUGACGCUGAGGCACGAAAGCGUGGGGAUCAAACAGG